CCACCAGUUCAAUGUGUCUGCUCAACCUGAAUAUGUUUUGCAGAGCAUAUUUUAAAAUGACACUGGUAAAGUAAAGCCACAGUACGAGCCUUGAAGACUUCGUAGUCUUUGAGGUCCCAAGAGAUGGCUACACCU
ensembl:snoRNA